rnacentral:rRNA from 1 species
GUCUACACACGUACCAUGCUGAACGUGCCGAUCUUGUCUGAUCUCAGAAGCUCAUCAGGGUUGGCCCUGGUUAGCACUUGAAUGGAAGAAGCCCUGGGAACCCUCAGCAUGCAAAGUCU